rnacentral:rRNA from 1 species
UACAGAGGGGGCAAGCGUUAUUCGGAAUUAUUGGGCGUAAAGGGCGCGUAGGCGGCUUGGCAAGUGGAAGGUGAAAUCCCUCGGCUUAACCGAGGAACUGCCCUCCAAACUGCUUCGCUUGAGACCGGGAGAGGUGAGUGGAAUUCCCAGUGUAGCGGUGAAAUGCGUAGAUAUUGGGAGGAACACCAGUGGCGAAGGCGGCUCACUGGACCGGUACUGACGCUGAAGCGCGAAAGCGUGGGGAGCAAACGGGG